rnacentral:lncRNA from 1 species
UCAUAUAGGGCAAAAAUCACGUGCUUACAAUUAUUAAGAAAAAUUUUGCCGAAGUUGCGUGAACGCAUACUCCGAUCUUAAUUUUGGGACCUGUAAUUAUCACAAUAUGAAGACAGAAAUGAGAAUCCUUCAUUAGAAAUGGACUUAGUGAACUUAUCUAAUCCAAAAUGCCAACUAUUACUCAAUGAAACAGUAGCCAAGCUAUCUAAUUGAAAUUAAUUAACUGGAGAACAAUUACAAUUGGACAGUAACUUGCAACGGUCAAUUGACUGAAUUACAAAUGAAAAUGCCAAAGUAAAGUAGCUAAGAUAGGAUAAUUUUCUGGAAACAAUAGCGGCUAAGCAACCAAAUUGGCUGGAAAAAAAAAAGAAUCGAUCCUUGAUAUGUCACUUUAUUUUACUGAAAUUGAUGUUAGAUAUAUAAACUGAAUCUACUGAUGCCUUGCAGCAUGAAUUGCAUACAUAUAUUUGAAUGAAGAAGUCAUGAUCUAUUAGUACUGUUUUAAUCAGUGCACGACAAUGUUAGACCACAAAAAGUAUUCCUUCUAUUUCUCAUUUCUCUACUUAUCUCACCUUUCUUUGAAAUAAAACUAGUUAAUACUAAAAUGGAUCAGAUUAGGGUGUUACAUAUUAGCGAUAACUCAACUAAAUCGGGUUUCUGACUUUUGCUAUACUGGGCAAGGAAGAUAAGAAAAUUCUCAAUAUGACCACUGCCUCAUUGAACAAAUGAAACAAAUCAGACCAAACCUAUUGCUGAAGACUUAAUUUAAACGCUGUCAAACCAAACCCCAUAGCUCGUCGAACAAGUAUUUAUAGAAAACAGAAUAGACUAGAUGCUAACACAUUGCUCAAAGCAGAACAAGAGAUCGAUGCAUAAACCAGCAAAACUAAAGCCUACGCGAAUCCAACAGACCAUUUAAAUGCAAAGCAAACUUAAGAGAAUUAAAAUAGAAUACAUUCAUCAUCUCAAAACAUAGACAAAUUCUAAACAUUUAGUUUGUUUUAAUCCAAAGGUUUCAUCACAAUUUUAGUCAUACUUCAGAUAGAGGCAGAGAUAUGGACCUGAGAAAUUCUUAAUCAACAGAAAAUUAAAGGGACUUGGCGACGUGCUUGAAAUGAAAAACAAACUGCUAAAAAUCUUGAUUCAAUAGGAACCGCGACCAAAAACUCAACAACGGACCUCGAAUCGAUUUCUUUGAUUUGGGACUGGAAUGCUCGACUUCAAAACAAAAUCGAGCAGCUUGCCUCCAUAAAUUCCGAUAUGAGAAUGAACUGAAGCUUUGUGUAACAAGUAGUUCUGAAGCUCAGAGAAUCGAAUGGUAACUGACUGGUUAUGGGGGUAAAUUUUCGCCGGCUUCAGGCGAAUCUCGCUGGCGAUGGAGGUCUGGAGAUGCUGGUCUUGGAGAGGAGGGGUCUAGGCAUCUAGGUUUUUUGGUUGUAUUUUUUGUGUGUAUUUUCAGCUACUCUUAU